AGUUUGAUCCUGGCUCAGGAUGAACGCUGGCGGCGUGCCUAAUACAUGCAAGUCGAACGCGGGCACUUGUGCCCGAGUGGCGAACGGGUGAGUAAUACAUAAGUAACCUGGCCUUUACAGGGGGAUAACUGCUGGAAACGGCAGCUAAGACCGCAUAGGUAGGGACACUGCAUGGUGACCGUAUUAAAAGUGCUGCAAGGCACUGGUAGAGGAUGGACUUAUGGCGCAUUAGCUGGUUGGUGAGGUAACGGCUCACCAAGGCGACGAUGCGUAGCCGACCUGAGAGGGUGACCGGCCACACUGGGACUGAGACACGGCCCAGACUCCUACGGGAGGCAGCAGUAGGGAAUUUUCGGCAAUGGGGGGAACCCUGACCGAGCAACGCCGCGUGAAGGAAGAAGGAAUUCGUUCUGUAAACUUCUGUUAUAAAGGAAGAAAGACGGAUGGAGGAAAUGACAUCCGAGUGACGGUACUUUAUGAGAAAGCCACGGCUAACUACGUGCCAGCAGCCGCGGUAAUACGUAGGUGGCAAGCGUUAUCCGGAAUUAUUGGGCGUAAAGAGGGAGCAGGCGGCAGCAAAGGUCUGUGGUGAAAGACUGAAGCUUAACUUCAGUAAGCCAUAGAAACCGGGCAGCUAGAGUGCAGGAGAGGAUCGUGGAAUUCCAUGUGUAGCGGUGAAAUGCGUAGAUAUAUGGAGGAACACCAGUGGCGAAGGCGACGAUCUGGCCUGCAACUGACGCUCAGUCCCGAAAGCGUGGGGAGCAAAUAGGAUUAGAUACCCUAGUAGUCCACGCCGUAAACGAUGAGUACUAAGUGUUGGAAGUCAAAUUUCAGUGCUGCAGUUAACGCAGUAAGUACUCCGCCUGAGUAGUACGUUCGCAAGAAUGAAACUCAAAGGAAUUGACGGGGGCCCGCACAAGCGGUGGAGCAUGUGGUUUAAUUCGAAGCAACGCGAAGAACCUUACCAGGUCUUGACAUACUCAUAAAGGAUCCAGAGAUGGAUAGAUAGUUAUAUGAGAUACAGGUGGUGCAUGGUUGUCGUCAGCUCGUGUCGUGAGAUGUUGGGUUAAGUCCCGCAACGAGCGCAACCCUUGUCGUUAGUUACCAUCAUUAAGUUGGGGACUCUAGCGAGACUGCCAGUGACAAGCUGGAGGAAGGCGGGGAUGACGUCAAAUCAUCAUGCCCCUUAUGACCUGGGCUACACACGUGCUACAAUGGAUGGUGCAGAGGGAAGCGAAGCCGCGAGGCGAAGCAAAACCCAUAAAACCAUUCUCAGUUCGGAUUGUAGUCUGCAACUCGACUACAUGAAGUUGGAAUCGCUAGUAAUCGCGAAUCAGCAUGUCGCGGUGAAUACGUUCUCGGGCCUUGUACACACCGCCCGUCACACCAUGAGAGUUGAUAACACCCGAAGCCGGUGGCCUAACCGAAAGGAAGGAGCUGUCUAAGGUGGGAUUGAUGAUUGGGGUGAAGUCGUAACAAGGUAACC
rnacentral:rRNA from 1 species